rnacentral:lncRNA from 1 species
AGCUGAGGAUGAUUCUGUCUGUGCAGAGAUCUGAGAGGCUCUGCCCAGCCUUCACCAUCCCUGUGUUAACUCAGAAGCUGCUUCUCAGUGUGGUGAAAGGAGACCCCAGGAAAUCGGCCCUCCUUUCCUUCUUUGUCAGGAAAGGUGUUCCCCCAAAAGCUGCAGGUGGAACAAGGAGAGCUGGAGAGGAGAAUGGUGUCAUCACCUGAGGGGAAACACAAAGCAGAAAGAAACGAGGAGGGGAAAUUUCGG